GUUUCGUAUGAGCGUGCGCGCUUGGAUCCUGCUGGGGUGCGCCGUUCGACGGUUGGACCAAUGAUCAACCGCUAAAGUAUGUUCGGAGUGCAAAUUGUACAACUUGUUCCCUGAGUUAGUUCAGCCACGGCCCUGAUAACUUAGCCAUGACUCUCCAUUUAAUUUUGCAUAUCGUUUUAAAAAAGAGCAAUAAAAUCGAUCGGGAUAUCCUUUUUUCGGGGCUAGGUUACCUACUCAAUUUGGUCACGGAGUAGCCAUUAUUAUUACAAGUGGACCUUUUGCGAGUCAUUGCGCCGAGACAUGCCCGCAGCCGUCCUCGUCGCGUUUACUACUUUUUUUUAAAAUACUUCCAGGAAUCAGACAUCCACCUGUUUACUCUGUAGUUAGAUUAUAGAUUGCUCGUUAUGUAGCUUCGAGAGUUGGUCUUUGGUUCACCACAUCCUCCUUUUGUCCUCUAUUAACAGAUGCUCUCCCAUUGGACACGGCAAUUGUUAAAGGGGAAAAACAUCCGUAGUAUAAGGAAUGCCAAAUGAAUGCCAAAUGAAUACCUUAACAGCUAUGAGAUCUUCUAUUGACAACUUCGGCCUAUCUCACCUGUUGUCCCAGACGCUUGUCUGGUCUGUAAAAUCUUAGCGACG
rnacentral:sRNA from 1 species